GUGCUCGCUUCAGCAGCACAUGUGCUAAAAUUGGAAUGAUAUAGAGAAGAUCAGCAUGGCCCCUGUGCGAGGAUGACACACAAAUUCACGAAGCGUUCCGUAUUUCU
rnacentral:snRNA from 1 species